rnacentral:rRNA from 1 species
UCAAGCUAAAAAGAGCGCAGGGUGGAUGCCUUGGCACUAAGAGCCGAUGAAAGACGUGAUAAGCUGCGAUAAGCUACGGGGAGGAGCACAUAUCCAUUGAUCCGUAGAUUUCUGAAUGGGGAAACCCGGCUGAGCAUACCUCAGUCACCGUGCACUGAAUCCAUAGGUGUACGGAGGGAACCCGGUGAACUGAAACAUCUAAGUAGCCGGAGGAAGAGAAAGAAAACUCGAUUUUCAAAGUAGCGGCGAGCGAAAUGGAAAGAGCCCAAACCGGAGUGCGUGCACUCCGGGGUUCGGACUGCAUUUAUGACUUCUGACUGUAGCGGAACGGUUCUGGAAAGACCGGCCAGAGAGGGUGAGAGCCCCGUAGGCGAAACGGAAGGAAGCAGAGCAGGAUCCAGAGUACCACGAGACACGAGAAACCUUGUGGGAAUGAGCGGGGACCACCCCGUAAGGCUAAAUACUCCUUAGUGACCGAUAGCGCAUAGUACUGUGAAGGAAAGGUGAAAAGGACCCCGGGAGGGGAGUGAAAGAGAACCUGAAACCCUGUGUUUACAAGCUGUGGAAGUUCUUUAAAUGAACAACCGCGUACUUUUUGUAGAACGGUCCGGCGAGUUGCGGAUACUGGCAAGGUUAAGCACUUAAGGUGCGGAGCCGAAGGGAUACCAAGUCUUAACAGGGCGUUAAGUCAGUGUACGCAGACCCGAAACCGGGUGAUCUAUCCAUGUCCAGGUUGAAGUUGUCGUAAAAGACAAUGGAGGACCGAAGCCACAUCCGUUGAAAAGGGUGGGCAUGAGGUGUGGAUAGGGGAGAAAUUCCAAUCGAACCCGGAGAUAGCUGGUUCUCCUCGAAAUAGCUUUAGGGCUAGCCUCGAUUUAGUCUUAUGGAGGUAGAGCACUGAAUUUCCGCGGGGGCGUCAAAGCUUACCAAAGAAUAUCAAACUCCGAAUGCCAUGUAGAUGAUGAUCGGGAGUCAGACUGCACGAGAUAAGUUGGGCAGUCAAAAGGGAAAGAGCCCAGACCACCGGCUAAGGUCCCAAAGUGCGUGUUAAGUGGAAAAGGAUGUGGGAAUUCGAAGACAACUAGGAUGUUGGCUCAGAAGCAGCCAUACAUUCAAAGAGUGCGUAACAGCUCACUAGUCGAGAGUUCCUGCGCCGAAAAUGUCCGGGGCUGAAACACGACACCGAAGCCGUGGACUCGCAAUGCGAGUGGUAGAGGAGCAUUCUUAAAACCGACGAAGCUGUACCGGAAGGAGCAGUGGAGGGAUAAGAAGAGAGAAUGCCGGAAUGAGUAGCGAGAGAAAGGUGGGAAUCCUUUCGGCCGAAUAUCUAAGGUUUCCAGAGUAAAGCUGAUCUGCUCUGGGUAAGUCGGGGCCUAAGCACAGGUCGCAAGACGUAAGCGAUGGAUAACAGGUUUAGAUUCCUGUACCACGCAUUAUCAGAACUGUAGGGACGCAUGUGGAAAGCACGGGCCGGGAAUGGAAAUACCGGUACAAGCGGGGUAGGUGUACGAUAGGCAAAUCCGUCGUAUAAUCCGAAGACGUGAUGUGGAGCGAAAUAAAGUAGUGAAGCGUGUGAGCCAUGUGCCGAGAAAAGCUGCUAUUGUGUAAUGCGUGCCCGUACCGUAAACCGACACAGGUGGAUGAGGAGAGAAUCCUAAGGCCGGCGGAAGAAGCAUUGUUAAGGAAUUCGGCAAAAUGACCCCGUAACUUCGGGAGAAGGGGUGCCUGCGAGAGCAGGCCGCAGAGAAUAGGCUCAAGCAACUGUUUAGCAAAAACACAGGUCUAUGCGAAACCGAAAGGUGAAGUAUAUGGGCUGACGCCUGCCCGGUGCUGGAAGGUUAAGAGGAGAGGUUAGCGUAAGCGAAGCUUUGAAUUUAAGCCCCAGUAAACGGCGGCCGUAACUAUAACGGUCCUAAGGUAGCGAAAUUCCUUGUC